rnacentral:sRNA from 2 species
CCUCUGGGGGAGUAGUCUCAGGCGCGCGCAAGCGCACGCCUGGCAUGCGUCAACACACUUGGUCCACAGACCAUGGCGUAUGCGACCGAACCGCAUCUGCGGCGCUGUCUGACAAGACCCAUGGCAUGUACUCCUGACCCGGGCGGGCAGGCGGUGCGUGCCAUGGUGAUCAUCUCGACCC